rnacentral:pre_miRNA from 1 species
UUUGACCAUUCGUCUUGUGUAAACUUUUUUACGAUUAAUAUUUUUAUUAUUACUAGAUGAUAAAAUAUGAAUAAUACUUUAUACGUGACUAAUUUUUUUAGGUUUUUUAUAAAUUUUUCAAAUAAGACGAAUUAUCAAA